rnacentral:tRNA from 1 species
GUUUGAGUAGUUUAAAUUAAAUAGGAUUGCUUUAAAGUAGUAAUGGUGGGCUGUCUUCCCCUCAAGCA